UACGUAGGGUGCAAGCGUUAAUCGGAAUUACUGGGCGUAAAGCGUGCGCAGGCGGUUUUGUAAGUCUGUCGUGAAAUCCCCGGGCUUAACCUGGGAAUGGCGAUGGAGACUGCAAGGCUAGAAUCUGGCAGAGGGGGGUAGAAUUCCACGUGUAGCAGUGAAAUACGUAGAGAUGUGGAGGAACACCGAUGGCGAAGGCAGCCCCCUGGGUCAAGAUUGACGCUCAUGCACGAAAGCGUGGGGAGCAAACAGG
rnacentral:rRNA from 1 species